rnacentral:rRNA from 1 species
UCUACGGGAGGCAGCAGUGGGGAAUAUUGCACAAUGGAGGGAACUCUGAUGCAGCGACGCCGCGUGAGUGAGGAAGUAUUUCGGUAUGUAAAGCUCUAUCAGCAGGGAAGAUAAUGACGGUACCUGAGUAAGAAGCACCGGCUAAAUACGUGCCAGCAGCCGCGGUAAUA